UAUUGGAGGAGAAUAGUACAAGGCUUGUGUAGGCUAAUUGGCCUCCUUAGCAUAUUGGCUUAUUGGCCAACACAUUAGAUCUAGAUUAGUUUGGGCUAUUUGGCCCUUCACAAAGAUUGGUGAGCUCAUUGGCUCCCUCAACAUAUCUUUGUUUGGGUAGCUCUUGGCUCCCUAAUAGUUUGGGAGUUUGCUUCUUUACCCCCACAUGGAUUGGGAGUUGAUUGGUUCACUCCCCAUAAGACUUGGGUUGGGUAGCCUUUUUUGCUCCACCUUGUAUGAUCACUUGCAUGUCUAUUUAUAGACUUGAUCCACCGCCAUACCUUGGUCCACCGACUUAGGACAUUUUCUCCCAACCACAUGUUUGUAUGCUCUAGAGAUUUCUUCCACCGACUUGAUUUCUUUACUCCACAAGUGUGUGGCUUUCUGGAAUAAUCUUCAUAGUUGCAUGUAGUUGCUGACUUCCCACCAAGCUUCUAGAUUUUUCUAUUCAAAUGUGUAUUAAUUUCAACAUCCUUCACAGCCCAAAGGACCUUUGCUAGAAUUAUCCUAAGAAAUCCUUGGAAAUUGGUUAUUAUCCCAGCAAUCUUCAUUCUAUCUACAGAACCUUCUAAAAGAUAUAUGGAAUUGGCAUGUCACUAUACCACUAGCUAAGAUCCAAAUAUAAUGGAUAAAAAACCUAGAGGGGGUGGAUAGGUUUCUGUUGACAUUCCUAAAUACUGGCACACUAAUUUGUUUUUUACAAAUACAACAAAAAUUCUCAUCUCACAUGAGUACUUUCAGAUAUACACGUGUUUGGAUGAAUACAAGGAUAUCUUUAUCUUCGAUUCAAUUUUUUAGUUAAACUUUUAAUGCAGAAAACCUAAACAAGAAACAUGGGUCCGAGUCAGGAUUCAACUGUUUAGACUUACACUUACUAACCUACUUGAUUCUAGGACUGUUAUGCACCAUUGUUGUCGUUGUCUACGUGAUUAGUAUAAUGCCUCAUGUAGAUUUGAGUGAUCCUCAAUACACUCUUUCCAGCCUUCACUGUCACGAAUCACCUACUUAUCUUUUAAACAUGUCAAGGUGUGAGUAUUUUAUUUAAGAAUAUUGUUUACCAGUAACUGGCCCAAACCUCUCAAGUUCUAUCGCUAAGCAUGUUUCAUACAAACGUAAAAGUAGGCAUGAGAUCAUCCUCUAAACACUAAACUACUUUCACAGCAGAUUUUGAAUGCAAGGGUUGUUCUUGAGGGAUUCCAUAAUCACAACUCAAGCUUUUAGAACCCCAAAUUCUCAACCUCUAUCUUUAUGAAUUUUCAUAGAAGUUUGGAAGUGAACAUGGGAUUGUCUCUAAACAUCAAACUACUUUCACAGUAUAUUUUACGUGCAAGGACUGUAAUUGAUCUGAUUCCUAGUUUUGAGGGUAUUUGAUUACAGAUUUUAAAAUGGAACCCACAUAAUUUUUUAUUCCUUAUGUGUUGGUAAACAUAGGGGAAGUCAUGAAUUGGAAUUAUUCCAAUACCCAUUCUUGAUAAGUAAACAUGCCAUAAUGGAAUUGCGUACAGAGGGAAAUGGAAGGGGAAGAGAGUGUGAUUAUAUAAAUGAAGAUAUCCAGGCACCAAACCUUUUAACUGUUGGAAACCAGCGUGUUAUUUGGCUAUUAUUUAGCAUGUUAUUCAUGUCUUCAACCCAGAAUGAAGGUUGCAUAUUCCUGGUCCUGGAAUUCUGCAAUGGGGGAAAUUUGGCAGCCUAUAUUCGGCAACAUGGGAGAGUUCAAGAACAGAUUGCUAGAAAAUUUAUGCAGCAGCUUGGGGCUGGUUUGGAAAUACUACAUUCUCACCACAUCAUUCAUAGAGACUUAAAACCAGAG